UACGUAGGGGGCAAGCGUUGUCCGGAUUCAUUGGGCGUAAAGAGCGUGUAGGCGGCCAGGUAGGUCGGUUGUGAAAACUGGAGGCUCAACCUUCAGAGGUCGACCGAAACCAUCUGGCUAGAGUCCGGGAGAGGAGAGUGGAAUUCCUGGUGUAGCGGUGAAAUGCGCAGAUAUCAGGAGGAACACCAAUUGCGAAGGCAGCUCGCUGGGACGUAACUGACGCUGAGACGCGAAAGCGUGGGGAGCAAACAGG
rnacentral:rRNA from 1 species